GACGAACGCUGGCGGCGUGCUUAACACAUGCAAGUCGAACGGAAAGGCCCUGCUUGCAGGGUACUCGAGUGGCGAACGGGUGAGUAACACGUGGGUGAUCUGCCCUGCACUUCGGGAUAAGCCUGGGAAACUGGGUCUAAUACCGGAUAGGAGCCAUUUUUAGUGUGAUGGUUGGAAAGUUUUUUCGGUGUAGGAUGAGCUCGCGGCCUAUCAGCUUGUUGGUGGGGUAAUGGCCUACCAAGGCGGCGACGGGUAGCCGGCCUGAGAGGGUGGACGGCCACAUUGGGACUGAGAUACGGCCCAGACUCCUACGGGAGGCAGCAGUGGGGAAUAUUGCACAAGGGGCGCAAGCCUGAUGCAGAGACGCCGCGUGGGGGAUGACGGCCUUCGGGUUGUAAACUCCUUUCGCUAGGGACGAAGCUUUUUGUGACGGUACCUAGAUAAGAAGCACCGGCUAACUACGUG
rnacentral:rRNA from 1 species